GGAAAGGGGGGUGAGGGGCGCAGCAACGAGAGAGGGGGUGUGUGUGGGUUGCGGUGGUAGCAGCGCAGCUAGGGCGCCGGUGGCCGGAGGGAACCAGCGCGGUUCUACAGGUCUUCGUAGGAGGAGCAGCAGAGGAAGCAGGAGCUUGUCACUUAGUUCGGCCCUUCCGGGCAUGCGAGCGGUAGCUCGAGCAGCAGUGACGCAUGUAGUAGCAGUGGCGGCAGCUACCGGCGGUGAAGCUGGCAGGGGCCGGGGUGGCUGGUGACGUGGCACUGGCGA
rnacentral:rRNA from 1 species